rnacentral:rRNA from 1 species
GACGAACGCUGGCGGCGUGCCUAAUACAUGCAAGUUGAGCGCUGAAGGUUGGUACUUGUACCAACUGGAUGAGCAGCGAACGGGUGAGUAACGCGUGGGGAAUCUGCCUUUGAGCGGGGGACAACAUUUGGAAACGAAUGCUAAUACCGCAUAAAAACUUUAAACACAAGUUUUAAGUUUGAAAGAUGCAAUUGCAUCACUCAAAGAUGAUCCCGCGUUGUAUUAGGUAGUUGGUGAGGUAAAGGCUCACCAAGGCGAUGAUACAUAGCCGACCUGAGAGGGUGAUGGGCCACAUUGGGACUGAGGCACGGCCCAAACUCCUACGGGAGGCAGCAGUAGGGAAUCUUCGGCAAUGGACGAAAGUCUGACCGAGCAACGCCGCGUGAGUGAAGAAGGUUUUCGGAUCGUAGAACUCUGUUGGUAGAGAAGAACGUUGGUGAGAGUGGAAAGCUCAUCAAGUGACGGUAACUACCCAGAAAGGGACGGCUAACUACGUG